AUAAACCUGAAGCAGGGUCAACGAGAUUUAACCCUUUGUUUGGAAGUAGUGAACUACUAAAUACACUAAUACUAUGAUCAUAGUUUAAUACGGGAGAGGAUUAGGGAAAAAAAAUUUAAGUUUGAUCUUUGGAUGGAGUUGAUUUAGAACCGCUAUAAAGGAGUGGAAGGAGUCGACGACGUCAACGGUCCAAACACCGAAGAUGACGUCAAGAUAACUACUUCUGGCAAAGGCGGAAUGUUCUCAGUCUGCAAGUUGUUGUAAAAAAGCUCCCCUACUGGUUGAUCGGAGAACUGCUGGAGAAAUUCUCCCAGUUCAUUCACAGCGAGCUUCUCCACCCGGUUCUCCUCUGUGUUCCUGGCUGCUGCCGCACCACUCUGAACGGGUCUGUCAUUGUUGUCCACACAGCAGUAGGCAUUCCACAGGUCAGUGAGCUGGGACUCGUGGAUCCUCCAGGCGUUCUGGUUUAGCUUGGGGUUCUGAGGAACCACAUUGGUCAGGGUGAAAGUGGCGUUGCGGCUGGGAACUGAAAGACAGAACAGAGGAUCGAGUUUGGAUAAAAGCAUGUUGAGCGUACACAGCAAUGCGAUUGUUGGUGUCAUACAUCGUGGCAAAGUGGUACCUGGAGGUGUAAAGAUUCAUUACCGUGAUUUGAAGACUUGUGCUGAGAAGAAGUGAGGAACAAGCGAGCAUGGAGGGAUAACACAUAGGACAUUCACUAAACUGUGCUGAGGUAAAUAAAGUGACAGUCCAUUCUUUUGUUGAAA